GACGAACGCUGGCGGCGUGCUUAACACAUGCAAGUCGAACGGAAAGGCUCCAGCUUGCUGGAGUACUCGAGUGGCGAACGGGUGAGUAACACGUGGGUGAUCUGCCCUGCACUUCGGGAUAAGCCUGGGAAACUGGGUCUAAUACCGGAUAGGACCGCACUUUGGUGUGUGUGGUGGAAAGGUUUUUCUGGUGUGGGAUGAGCUCGCGGCCUAUCAGUUUGUUGGUGGGGUAAUGGCCUACCAAGACGGCGACGGGUAGCCGGCCUGAGAGGGUGGACGGUCACAUUGGGACUGAGAUACGGCCCAGACUCCUACGGGAGGCAGCAGUGGGGAAUAUUGCACAAUGGGGGAAACCCUGAUGCAGCGACGCCGCGUGGGGGAUGAAGGCCUUCGGGUUGUAAACUCCUUUCGCUAGGGACGAAGCUUUUUGUGACGGUACCUGGAGAAGAAGCACCGGCUAACUACGUGC
rnacentral:rRNA from 1 species